rnacentral:tRNA from 1 species
CCGACCUUAGCUCAGUUGGUAGAGCGGAGGACUGUAGUUGGAAAACUUCCAGAUAGCCAUCCUUAGGUCGCUGGUUCGAAUCCGGCAGGUCGGA